GGGCUUGUGGUCUAGUGGUAUGAUUUUCGCUUCGCAUCUUGUAGGCUCCUGAAGCUUCUAGCACAGGAGUCAGUAAUACAUCAUGAACAAGUGAAAGGUCCGGGGUUCGAUCCCCCGUAAGUCCA